AAUAAAUAGCAUGUUUUUGACGAAGGAGAAGAAUGAAAAGAGAAUAACUCACAUUUAUCGAACACGUGAACUGCUUUUCAUGAAUACUGUAAUGCAGAUCGAAAUUAUAGUUAACGAUCUUCAUUUGGUAGCUUAUGAAGCAGUUUCACUCUUGUCUUACACUAGAAAAGGUCCGACAAACAUGCGAAAGAUGAUGUAAACAAAUCAUGGAAAAGGGGAAAUUUAAA
rnacentral:lncRNA from 1 species